CAGGGGGUAGUUUAAUUAAGAAUUUUAGCUUUGGGAGCUGAAGGUGGGAGUUAAAAUCUCUUCUCUCUGA
rnacentral:tRNA from 1 species